GCCUUUCAAGCCCAUUCUUCCCAGCAGUUAGCUUACUAUCGCUAGCACAGCUCCCCUGCCGAAGUAGCCACAGCAGUAGGCCCUCUGCUAGGAAGAUGCCAGACCAGCAAGACAACCCCUUCCUGUUGAAGUCUCUUCUGGAAUUGGGAAUUGGAGGUGGGUAGGAGAAAGGGAAAAACUAAAUGCGGCCAGAACUGAAUCCAGACUUGCUUCCCUACCACACUGCCUCUAGCCACCUCUGGGGACCCUCUCCCCUCGAUUCCACCCUAUACCCUAGUCUAGCUGUUAUUACAGGUUUCAAUCCCCCCCACCAGACCCUCACGUCAAUAAAGUAACACCCACCUACUCCCUCACCCCCCAACACAGCUAGCCCUACGAGUUGUCAUAAAAAACUUUCUGGGCGGCCCCCUUUCCUGGCGGCUCCCGAAGGUUAACCCAGAGCAGGUGCUAGAAGGCUCGCGGCGUCUUCCGGCACGAAGUCCAGGACUCUGCCGGUCCGAGCAGCCCCUGUACGCACCGCCUUGGUCAGCGGGCGCUCCCAGCACACACCCAGCGCGCGGAGCGACUCCUCCCAGAGGACGCCGAGACUGUCAGAAAGCUGCAUCAUCCACCAGCAUCUGGGGAAUUCCGACAGGUGGAUCUGAGGUCACAGCAGGACAGGCAAUGGAUAAACCUAGCAGGUUGUGGAGGUCUGGACUGGAACUCAGGAAAGAGGGCAAAGAGUGCAGAAGUGAUGCUAUGCCAGUUCCUGCCAGCUUCCACUUGUGUAAUUUUGGAAGCUCUAAGCAACUGUGUAAGAAGUUCAGCCACCUAGCUAGAGAGGACAUGUGGAGCAAAGGGGCCCUGAGACUACAUGGAGAAAGAAGCCAAGUCUUUCCACUGCCCUACUUGAGUCUUCAUAUGACUACAGUUCCAGCUGCCAUCUGACUACAACUUCAUGAGAGACCCCAAGUGAGACCAGCAGAAUUGCCCAGCUGAGCCCAGUCAAUUUGCAAAACUGUGGGAGAUGAUUGUUUUAAGCCACUAAAUUUUGGGGUGUUUGUUAUGCUGCAAUAAGUAACUAAAAUAUCACUCCGUAUUUUAAUUGCCUACUUUGUUUGCCCUCCUAGGCUAUUUUCUGUGAGGGCAGGGACAAAAACCACAUUCAAGGUUUGUUUUUGUUUUUCUCGAGACAGAGUCUUGCUCUGUCACCCAGGCUGGAGUGCAAUGGUUUGACCUUGGCUCACUGCAACCUCCGCCUCCUGGGUUCAAGCGAUUCUCCUGCCUCAGCCUUCCAAGUAGUUGCAAUUACAAGUGAACACCACCACACUCGGCUAAUUUUUUGUAUUUUUUAGUAGAGAUGGGGUUUCACCAUGUUGGCCAGGCUGGUCUCAAACUCCUGACCUCGUGAUCUGCCCACCUCAGUUUCCCAAAGUGCUGGGAUUACAGGUGUGAGCCACUGCACCCAGCCCACAUCCAUGUUUUAAAAUUGUUAUAUACUUAGGAUAUCCUUUAGCACUAAAUAAGCGCUCAUAUAUUUGAUUACUGCACUUUAAGAAUGCCUACAAAAAUGAAGGCAACAAGUAUCUAGAACACUUGCCGUGGUGAGAGUACACAAAGUACACAAUGGCAUGUGUAGUCAUCAUGAAAGGUAAUUCAAUGGACGGUGGACAACAGGUUCCCGAUGUCAGACAGACAGCUUACCUUUGUGGAGGGAUUCAGUCAACUUGAGGGACUGCAUAGAGGGACUAAACCACAAUCCAACACCAUAGAGUUUGGGAGCAGAAAAGAAAGGCUGAUGGUUUGAGGCCUGGAAGUUAAAGCAGCUAUUUCCGACAGCGCUCUCAUGAGCUGCACUGAACAGGUGAUCUGCUGUGGGCUCCAGCCACCCUCACCAUCCACCCUCACACAAGUCAUCUGCUGAUGUUCCCGUUUAUGGGGACAAGAGAUGCCGUGUUAUUCUAUACAUGGGGACAGAUGUCCUACUCUCUCCUUCAAAACUUUUCAACUAGCUUCACACAGGGAGGGCCCUCAAUCAAUGUCUGUAUGUGCAAUGAAUAUAUUUCCACUCAAAUCAGCAAAUCCCCAGACUGGGGUCUCGUACCCUUUGCUGUAAUAAUCAUUAAUACAAGGUAUUCUGUCAA